rnacentral:rRNA from 1 species
AUUGAACGCUGGCGGUAGGCCUAACACAUGCAAGUCGAACGAGUGGCGGACGGGUGAGUAAUGUCUGGGAAACUGCCUGAUGGAGGGGGAUAACUACUGGAAACGGUAGCUAAUACCGCAUACCAUCAGAUGUGCCCAGAUGGGAUUAGCUAGUUGGUGGGGUAACGACUCACCAAGGCGACGAUCCCUAGCUGGUCUGAGAGGAUGACCGGCCACACGGGAACUAGGACACGGUCCAGACUCCUACGGGAGGAAGCAGUGGGGAAUAUUGCAAAAUGGGGGCAAGCCUGAUGCAGCCAUGCCGGGUGUAUGAAGAGGGCCUGCGGGUUGUAAAGUACUUUCAGCGGGGAGGCGUUACCCGAAGAAGAAGCACCGGCUAACUCCGUGCCAGAAGCCGCGGUAAUA